AUAACACUGCGAUCUCGCAAUCGUGCCGGAAGGAGGUUCCCCAGGCCCUCAACCCCACCCUAUGGAAACCUCAGCUAAAAAGUAAACAUCGCGAACCGGGCACAGCACCUCGGAAACCAGCCCCACCGCGGACAGCGCUCCUCCGGAGGGAGGCCGGGCCUGUUGCGGAGGCUCCCCAGCCCUUGGCCCCGGGGCUACGGGCCACUCCCAGGCAGUCUGCCCGGCGUUUCGGGGGAACCCCACGCCCAGCGCUGCGGGGUUACCUCUGCACCCCGCGCUCGCCGCACCGGUGCAAAAGGCGCCCUCGGCUCUCGGCCGGUAGUCUCCGCGGAAAGUGGGGAGGACUGCGGUGGGUCUGGGGAUUGUUGGAGUGGGGUCAGGUACACCGUAGGGGAGAAUGUCCAAAGUUUAGGGGAGAGAUCGGGGUUGACGGGAGACGCCGAGGGAGCCCUUGUCCGCUGCGAGGUGACUAAGGCCCCAACCCUACCUUCCCAAUUCCUCCCCGCCCCCACGCUAAAGGGGCCGGAAGCCCAGUCUCCAUGGUUCCACCUCCUGCGCCUCGCCCUGUGACGUCACUCCGAGUGACGCCACUACCAUCCAAUGAGCUCUCAAAUCCUGGGACUGGCUCGCGUCCUUCACGGCAGCCGCGCGGAAGGCAACAAGGUCCCCCGCACGAGCCCGCGAAGUCACUUCUGGGUCGGAGUUAGUUGAGGCAGCGUCUGUACUACAGGACCAAAGCUGCGUCCCCCCCCCCCCCCUGCCUGCCCACAUUCUGUAGUCUAGCCAACUCCUCGAGAACUCCUUGAAUGGAGGCCCUACCAGAGUAAGGUCUGAUAGUAGCCUUUGUAACCCAAAUUGGAGUCACUGAUGACAUCACUUUGAUGAUUCCGUUCCUCACCCUUUAGUCUCCGAAACUGCCUAGAGGUCUUGGGUUGGCGAAGGAGGUUGUGAGGUCCUGGUGGCAGAGGGGCAGCACUG
rnacentral:lncRNA from 1 species